rnacentral:rRNA from 1 species
AACUAACGCUGGCGGCGUGCCUAACACAUGCAAGUCGUACGAGAAAGUUGGCUUCGGCCGAUGAGUAAAGUGGCGCACGGGUGAGUAAUGCGUGGAUAAUCUGCCCUUUAGUUGGGAAUAACGUACCGAAAGGUGCGCUAAUACCUGAUAAUACUGCAUAACUACUGUUGUGUAGUCAAAGAAGGCCUCUGUUUACAAGCUUUUGCUGAAGGAUGAGUCCGCGUACCAUUAGCUGGUUGGUGGGGUAAUGGCCUACCAAGGCUACGAUGGUUAGCUGGUCUGAGAGGAUGAUCAGCCACACUGGAACUGAGACACGGUCCAGACUCCUACGGGAGGCAGCAGUGAGGAAUAUUGCGCAAUGGGGGAACCCUGACGCAGCAACGCCGCGUGAGUGAGGAAGGUUUUCGGACCGUAAAGCUCUGUCGAGCGGGAAGAAAUGUAAUCAUGGCUAAUAUCCAUGAUACUUGACGGUACCGCUAAAGGAAG